CGAUUUUUUCUUUCUCCGUAGAGAUUCAAGGUCGUGUACGAAAAGGAGCAAAGUGAUUCUGGAUGUUGAUUGGCCAGCGCCUCAUCAGCUCAGAAGAUGAUUGGUGCUUACAGAAGGUCCCUGGAUGAUGAUUGUAUUUAGGACCCUGAGGUGGCUGGCUCAGCUGCUCCUCGCCCCGCCACCGCAGGCUCCUCACCCUUUUCUCCCCAGUCGGUCCCCCUCUGCACGGUCCAUUGUUCUGUGUUUGGUGGGCUCCGACCAGAGUCAAGCUAGCCGGGGUGAAACACACAGCUUCCUGUCCGAACCUUCAAAAUAAAACACUCAGCGCCAUCCAGUUAAAGGCUGACUGUGGGUCCCUGUGACAUUUUACUUUUUUUCCCCCUCAGCCCAUUUCUGUACAAAAAUCAAUCAAAAUCAAAUCAGUUUUAUUCACAUAGCCCAAAAUCGCAAUCACAUUGCCUUGAUGGGUUUAAAAAUCUGUACAGUGAACAACAUCCUCUGUCUUCAUUCUUACUGUGUAACACUUGUAUAACGUUCUUAUUGUAUGCUUUCUGUCUCUGCAAAAAGUCUGGUGCAGCACAGAAAAUGUCUGAAUAUGGUACUUAAAAUUAUUUGGAAGAUAAGUGUAAGGCUUCAACAUUUCAUGCCCAGGCAACUUUCCAGGGGGAAAAAGAAACAUGUUUGCGACUGAAUAAACACAUCAGAUAUGGCUCCUUGA